rnacentral:misc_RNA from 1 species
AAAAUAAUUGGUUUCUUAUUGAAGGUUGACAUAGCUUGUACCACUUCUUUAGUAAACGUCUUCCCAGUGCCAGAAGAUCCAAUCAAGACGGUUGGCUUAAUUAACUUAACAGCAUUCACCAGUUCUUUUACUGGCUCGUGAUCAUGAGCCCAGGGCCUCUUAAAAUGUUGAAGUGACUCCAUGCGAGACCUAACUAUCAACCCCUUAGAAUCCACCAUCCAAGUUUUCUUGCGUGACUCUUCUAGAGGGGCUCCAGUCUGCUUGGACAUCUCAAGAGCUAUGAGUUCUGCUAUCCCGGUACCAGCCUCUCCAGCUCCCAGGAAUAAAAAUCUAUGCUGUGCCAAGUUUCCUCCCACUAAGUUUAGUGCUGCCAUGAUCCCUGCUAGGACCACAGAUGCAGUCCCCUGAAUGUCGUCAUUAAAAACAAGGUGGCUAGUUCCAUAUUUCGCAAGAAGGUCAAAUGCAUUGUGAUUCGCAAAGUCUUCAAACUGAAUGAGCACUUUCUCUCCGUAAGUCUGCUUGACAGCAGACAUAAAUUCAUCCAAGAGUUCAGCAUAUUCCUGUCCUCUAGUUCUUCUUUGUCUCAGCCCAAUGUAAAAUUCAUCUUUUAACAAUGUCUCAUUGUUUGUGCCCACAUCAAUGGUAACUGGCAAGCAAGAUGACGGCCGAAUGCCUCCAAGAGCGGUGUAUAAAGAGAGUUUCCCUACUGGUAUCCCCAUUCCCUGGCAA